GGAGGAAUGGAUGGGUCCCUCCAACCAUCCAUCCAUCCAUUCCUCCAUCUCUUCAUCCUUCCAUCCAUCCCUCCAUCCCUCCAUCUCUCCAUUUGUCCAGCUUUCACUCUUCCAUCCAACCAUUCACCCACUAUUCCUUCCAUCAUUUCCUCUCUCUUUCCCUCUUUGAAUCUACUCACCCGUCCACUCAUCCAACUUUUGAGACUUCACUGAGGCUCCCUGUGACCCCUGACCAUACUGAACCAGGGACUUUCAGUUGUUUCCUGUUAGUAUUUUCUAAUUCCAUGGAGAAGGGCAGUAGGAACCUGAGAGGAGCCUCAGAUUCUACUCAGCUCUGCCCCAUUUUGCACUGUGACUUCACUGGGCCCAGUGUCUCUACCUGUCUUCAGGGGGGCUUAUCUGGUGGUUGUCAGUCCCCUAGGUUUCCCUGACUGGAGGGCGAGCUCUGUCCCCAUAUUGUUUCUGCUGCUUUCUGGUGGGAUCUGGGGAUGCAUCCUUCAGGAGGCCCUGGUGGGAGAUGGCCCUUUGUUUUGCUCAAGAAAAGAGCUCCUUGUUCUGCAAUUUUGCACGGGGAACCAUGAGCCUGUUCUUUGCCAACUUGUUUUGUGUGAGUCCUGGGUGGGGGAACUGCAUCCAAUGUCAUAGAAACCAGGCCCAGUGUGUGUGGGGAAUUUGUUUCCAAUCCCUGUCUCCACUCCUGCCCAGAGAGCUCAGCCCUGUCCAGGGUCCCUGUGGGUAUGGAGUGCUCACCAGGUAGAGAUGGGACCUGGUGGAAGUAGGAGCUGCCUCUAGCUGAAGUGGGGGUCCUGCCCACUGGAUAUGAAUGAUGGGUUUGUGGUGCAGGUUGACAUACCACCCUGGACUCACAGACAGCUCAUUGCUUCAACCUGACAUUGAAAGCCCAGUUCACAUUUUACCUUCCUAGAAGGAAAAAUUAUAGAUGCAUGGUCACAUACACAUCCAGACAUGUACGUAUGUACACAUGUGCAUGCACAUACAGACACACAUGCAAAUAUAUCUGUACUUCUCCGGGCAGGGUGCAGCUGCUCACUCCGCCUAGACCUCUGUACCAGGCUCUGAUGUUUGUCAUUCCUGGCCUACCCCUCCAUGUUCAUUUCUAGGCUGACCUGGGCUCUGCCAUCUCUUAUUGGCUCAGAAACAAUCUCUUAGGCCUCCAGUGAGCUGUUGUAGGUAGAAGAGUCCCCAACGAUGGGCAUAGCCUAAUCCCAGAACCAGUGAACAUCAGGUUACAGGGCAAAGGAAAUGAAGGUUGCAAAUGAAAUUGAGUCUUAUAUUUUAGUCCAUUUGUGCAGCUAUAGCAAAAUACCCUAGACUGGAUCAUUUAUGAAUAAGUGAAAUUUAUUUCUCACAGCUCUGGGGGCUACAAGUCCAAGAUCAAGGCCCUGGCAGAUUCUAUAUCUGGUGAGGGCCAGUCUCUGCUUACAAGAUGGUGCUUGGUUGCUGCAUCUUCUGGAGGGGACAAAUGCUCUGUCCUCACAUGGUGGAGGUGUGGAAGAGCAAACAGGGCCUAAGCUGAAUCUCUCCAGCCCUUUUAUAAACUACUGAGAAUCCUGCCUGCCUGACUGAAUCACUUCCUCAAAGGCCUCACCAUCUGACACCACCACAAUGGGGAUUAAGCUUCAACACAUGGAUUUUGGAGGUGACACAUUUAAGUCAUAGCAGUUGCUAAUCGUUGACUUGGGAAGAGAGGUCAUUCUGGAUUAUCAAGGUGAAGCCAUGUAAUGGCAAGAAUCUUUACAAGUAGAAGAGGAGGCAGGAGAGUGUUUAAGUCAGUUUUUUGUUGCCAAAAGUCCUGAUGAGAACAACUUAGAGGAGGAUACAUUUAUUUGGGUUCAUGGUUUCAGAGGUUUGGGACAUGGUUGGCUGACUCCAUAGCUUUGGGCCUGAGGUUAGGCAGAAAUCAUGGUGGAAGUGUGUGGUGGAGGAAAGCUGCUCACCGAGAGGAAGCAGAGAGUGCCUACCUGCAAGGAGCCAAGGAUAAUAUACUCCCCAAGAGCAUACCCCCAGUGACCUAGCUCUUCCUCCAGCCAUACCUACCAGCCUACAGUUACUACCCAUUCUACCAUUAAUCCAUUCAAAUUAUUAGUGCAUCAAAUGGGUCAAUCCACUGAUUAGGUCACAACACUCAUGAUCUAAUCAAUUCACCUCUGAACUUUUCUGCAUUGUCUCACACAUAAGCUUCUGGGGGACACCUCAUAUCCAAAUCAUAAUAAAAAGUGAGAACCAGAUAGAUGGCAGUAUGAAAAAGAUGAGGCUCAGUGUUCUGACUUCAAAGAUGGAGGAAGGGACCAUGGGCCCAGGAAUGCAAGUGACCUCUGCAAGCUGGAAAGGACAAGGAAGUAAACUUUGCAUUAGAGGCUCCAGAAGGAAUACAGCCUGCCAACACCUUGAUUUUUAGCCAGUGGUCCCAUCUGGAACCUCUGACCUCUAGAGUGGUAAGGUAUGACCUGUGUGGUUUUAAGCCACUAAGUUUGUUUUAAUUUGUUACAGCAGCUUUCAGAAACUCAUACAGUUGUGCUACUUAAUUGGUCCCUCUCUCACUUUACACUCUGACUUAUAUCCUUGAUCACAGGCUGCAGGGAUCUUGUCCAGUUAAGGGACAGCCUGUAAAGCCAUACUUAACAGCCCUGACUGACUAUGAGACUCUGGACAUACUCCACUUUCUUUUCUUGUCCUCCAUCCCUCUGUCUCUGCAGUUGGGGCUGGGGAGGAGCCCGUCAGCCCAAUGUCUCUGGGUACUGGAGUUCUUUAGAAGCAGAGCUCAAGUUCUACUGGCAUGUUAGAGGAGGGGAACCAGGUGCCACCAGAAUAGCAGGUCAGCGAGAGGUCUACCUCCCCAGCCUUGGCCUCAGGCCAGCCUAUCUCACAGAGCCUCAUUCUUGGGGACUGACUUUUCAGAGUCAGAAGCCACUAGGACUGCUCUUUUCCUGCUUCAAAAAACUCCCUUGAGUGACUCUGUUGGCUGUGAGCCUGGAAGGUGCUGUCCUUCAAAAUUGGGAAAACCUUUGGACUUAACACAAAGGAUCAUAAAUCCAUCAAAAGACCAGGAAAGGCCCUGGGUCAUUACCCACCCCCUCUCCCUACAGCAGAGGUUGAGUACCUGCUCCCCCGCUCCCCAUGCGGUCCCUCUAGGCCUCCCCUUGUAGGGCUGCAAACAUCUGCAUCUUUACAGAGGACUGAGUGACAGUCCAUGGGGGAAGGGAGAGAGGCCUACCACUUGCUCCAGCCGCCCGGGGUCAGGUCCAUCCUUAAGGAGCUGUGGUGAACUCUCUGCAGACUGGAGAGCAUUGGAGGGAACGGAAUGCCAGACACCUGCAAGCCCCAGAGCAAGCUGCCUGGAGGCCGCCUGGCCUGGGUUUGGGGGCAGGGUACUGCCUCUUCUGGGCCAGGCAGGAAUCAUCUUUUUGGGCCCUUAACUGAGCACCCGCACUGCCCAAGGGCUAGGGCCUGUCUGUAUCACCUGCUUUGAAACCAGAGCUGGGCUGAAACCCGGUCCCUUCACCUUGAGCCUCGGCCGUAGGAUGGGGGUCUGUGAGAAGUCAGUGAGAGGCCCUGUCCCAAGGUUGCUCGGAACAGGAGAUUCAGUGUUAGAGAUCCUAUCCUCACUCCGUGGCUGGCCAGCUGUGUGGCCUGAGGCAAGGUGCCAUUUUCUUCUCUAUAAGAUGGGAGUAUCAGCAGAUUUACUCAUAACACGUGGAGUAAAUGAGAUCUGGUCAUGAGUCCUGAGGGCAGGGCUGAACACACAAGGAGCUCCCAGCAAAGCUCAGGCUGUUUUCUAUUAACUGAGCUUCAGUGAUUCAGGGGCUUUUCCUCUCAAAUGCUUUCCUGGGCAGUUGAUUGACUUGGAUCCCCCCUAGGGCACAGAGCAGAAGUCACCCAGAAAAGUCUGUGUGCUUCCCACAAAAGCACCUCCUCCCAAGGCCCAGCGUCCAGGAGGAAGGGGAAGAGUUGAGGCCCACAUCUUGAGCCACAGAAGUCUGGGUACCCCGCCCCCCAAGAUAUGGGAUUAUCCAUGACUCCCAAUGCUGGGCCUCUCACUCCCAGCUCCCCCUCUGGACGGCAAGCAAGGGGGACCAAGACACAUCAGGGAGGGCUGCCAGUUUGGGCAGAAGGCACAGCACUUGCGAAGCCAUGGCAGUGGGGCCUGGUGGGACCCACUGACUGUGGUUAUGGCGUGUCUCGGGCUGACAUUGGAGUGAGGCUUGGGGACAAAACUUUCCAAGUAACUGGAGACUUUCUGCUUGUCCCUCCUCGGUCACUAAAAGCCAGUAGCGCUCCAGGGGCAGUUUGAUCAUGAAAACUUCUCCCUGUGGGAGAGACAGUUCCCUUGGAGGUUGAGGACCCCAUAGGAACCUAACUGGAAUGCUGGGAGGUGGCUGGAACGUGGGGGAGGAG
rnacentral:lncRNA from 1 species